rnacentral:rRNA from 1 species
GAUGAACGCUGGCGGCGUGCCUAAUACAUGCAAGUCGAGCGAACGGACGAGAAGCUUGCUUCUCUGAUGUUAGCGGCGGACGGGUGAGUAACACGUGGAUAACCUACCUAUAAGACUGGGAUAACUUCGGGAAACCGGAGCUAAUACCGGAUAAUAUUUUGAACCGCAUGGUUCAAAAGUGAAAGACGGUCUUGCUGUCACUUAUAGAUGGAUCCGCGCUGCAUUAGCUAGUUGGUAAGGUAACGGCUUACCAAGGCAACGAUGCAUAGCCGACCUGAGUGGGUGAUCGGCCACACUGGAACUGAGACACGGUCCAGACUCCUACGGGAGGCAGCAGUAGGGAAUCUUCCGCAAUGGGCGAAAGCCUGACGGAGCAACGCCGCGUGAGUGAUGAAGGUCUUCGGAUCGUAAAACUCUGUUAUUAGGGAAGAACAUAUGUGUAAGUAACUGUGCACAUCUUGACGGUACCUAAUCAGAAAGCCACGGCUAACUACGUGCCAGCAGCCGCGGUAAUACGUAGGUGGCAAGCGUUAUCCGGAAUUAUUGGGCGUAAAGCGCGCGUAGGCGGUUUUUUAAGUCUGAUGUGAAAGCCCACGGCUCAACCGUGGAGGGUCAUUGGAAACUGGAAAACUUGAGUGCAGAAGAGGAAAGUGGAAUUCCAUGUGUAGCGGUGAAAUGCGCAGAGAUAUGGAGGAACACCAGUGGCGAAGGCGACUUUCUGGUCUGUAACUGACGCUGAUGUGCGAAAGCGUGGGGAUCAAACAGGAUUAGAUACCCUGGUAGUCCACGCCGUAAACGAUGAGUGCUAAGUGUUAGGGGGUUUCCGCCCCUUAGUGCUGCAGCUAACACAUUAAGCACUCCGCCUGGGGAGUACGACCGCAAGGUUGAAACUCAAAGGAAUUGACGGGGACCCGCACAAGCGGUGGAGCAUGUGGUUUAAUUCGAAGCAACGCGAAGAACCUUACCAAAUCUUGACAUCCUUUGACAACUCUAGAGAUAGAGCCUUCCCCUUCGGGGGACAAAGUGACAGGUGGUGCAUGGUUGUCGUCAGCUCGUGUCGUGAGAUGUUGGGUUAAGUCCCGCAACGAGCGCAACCCUUAAGCUUAGUUGCCAUCAUUAAGUUGGGCACUCUAAGUUGACUGCCGGUGACAAACCGGAGGAAGGUGGGGAUGACGUCAAAUCAUCAUGCCCCUUAUGAUUUGGGCUACACACGUGCUACGAUGGACAAUACAAAGGGCAGCGAAACCGCGAGGUCAAGCAAAUCCCAUAAAGUUGUUCUCAGUUCGGAUUGUAGUCUGCAACUCGACUACAUGAAGCUGGAAUCGCUAGUAAUCGUAGAUCAGCAUGCUACGGUGAAUACGUUCCCGGGUCU